CUUGCAAGCUAGAGGCAUUGCAGGUGUGAGCGCUGUCCCAUCUGUGUCUAUAAGUAACAGGGAGAAGAAAGGCUAUGGCUAUGCUGACCCAUGAAUAUUUGAAUGAUUAAUAGCCUGACGUG